UACGUAGGGUGCGAGCGUUGUCCGGAAUUAUUGGGCGUAAAGAGCUCGUAGGCGGCCUGUCGCGUCGGCUGUGAAAGCCCGGGGCUUAACCCCGGGUCUGCAUUCGAUACGGGCAGGCUGGAGUGUGGUAGGGGAGAUCGGAAUUCCUGGUGUAGCGGUGAAAUGCGCAGAUAUCAGGAAGAACACCUAUGGCGAAGGCAGCUCUCUGGGACGGUACUGACGCUGAGACGCGAAAGCGUGGGGAGCGAACAGG
rnacentral:rRNA from 1 species